UAAGGAAUAUUGGACAAUGGGCGCAAGCCUGAUCCAGCCAUGCCGCGUGAAGGAUGAAGGCCCUAUGGGUUGUAAACUUCUUUUAGCAGGGAAAAAACCCCCCGAUGCGUUGGGGGCUGAUGGUACCUGCAGAAUAAGCAUCGGCUAACUCCGUGCCAGCAGCCGCGGUAAUACGGAGGAUGCAAGCGUUAUCCGGAUUUAUUGGGUUUAAAGGGUGCGUAGGCGGAUGAAUAAGUCAGUGGUGAAAGCCUGCAGCUUAACUGUAGAAUUGCCAUUGAUACUGUUCGUCUUGAGUACAGCUGAGGUGGGCGGAAUAUGACAUGUAGCGGUGAAAUGCUUAGAUAUGUCAUAGAACACCGAUUGCGAAGGCAGCUCACUAAACUGUCACUGACGCUGAGGCACGAAAGCGUGGGGAGCAAACAGG
rnacentral:rRNA from 1 species